GAAAGCUGACUCCUGGCUUAACACGUGCCCGGCGAGGGGCAGCGGGAUUGAAGCUUGCUUCAAUUGCCGGCGACCGGCGCACGGGUGAGUAACGCGUAUCCAACCUUCCGUACACUCAGGGAUAGCCUUUCGAAAGGAAGAUUAAUACCUGAUAGUAUCUUAAGCACACAUGUAAUUAAGAUUAAAGAUUUAUCGGUGUACGAUGGGGAUGCGUUCCAUUAGGUAGUAGGCGGGGUAACGGCCCACCUAGCCAACGAUGGAUAGGGGUUCUGAGAGGAAGGUCCCCCACAUUGGAACUGAGACACGGUCCAAACUCCUACGGGAGGCAGCAGUGAGGAAUAUUGGUCAAUGGACGAGAGUCUGAACCAGCCAAGUAGCGUGAAGGAUGAAGGUCCUACGGAUUGUAAACUUCUUUUAUAAGGGAAUAAACCCUCCCACGUGUGGGAGCUUGUAUGUACCUUAUGAAUAAGCAUCGGCUAACUCCGUGCCAGCAGCCGCGGUAAUACGGAGGAUGCGAGCGUUAUCCGGAUUUAUUGGGUUUAAAGGGAGCGCAGACGGGUCGUUAAGUCAGCUGUGAAAGUUUGGGGCUCAACCUUAAAAUUGCAGUUGAUACUGGCGUCCUUGAGUGCGGUUGAGGUGUGCGGAAUUCGUGGUGUAGCGGUGAAAUGCUUAGAUAUCACGAAGAACUCGGAUUGCGAAGGCAGCACACUAAUCCGUAACUGACGUUCAUGCUCGAAAGUGUGGGUAUCAAACAGGAUUAGAUACCCUGGUAGUCCACACGGUAAACGAUGGAUACUCGCUGUUGGCGAUAUACUGUCAGCGG
rnacentral:rRNA from 1 species